rnacentral:lncRNA from 13 species
GCCCAGGCUGGUCUUGAAUUCUUGGGCUCAAGCAAUCCUCCAACCUUGGCCUCCCAAACUACUGGGAUUAUAGGCAUGAGCCACUGUGCCCAGUGUGCCUACUUUUUAACAAGAUUAUUUGUUUUAUUCUUUCUGAUCUGAGCUCCUUGUAGAUUCUGGAUACUAGUCCUUUGUUGGAUGCAUAGUUUGCAAAUAUUCUCUCCAAUUGUGUAGGUUGUCUAUUUAUUCUGAUUACUUCUUUUGGCUGUGCAGAAACUUUUUAGUUAAUUUAGUCCCAUUUGUUUAUUUUUGUUUUCACUGCGUUUGCUUUUGGGGUCUUUGCCAUAAAUUCUUUGCCUGCCAAUGUCCAGAAGAGCUUUUCUCCUAGGUUUUCUUCUAAAUUUUAAAAAUAAUUUCUUAAAGUUUUUAGUUCAUCUUGAGUUGAUUUUUUUUAUAUAAUGAGAGAUAGGGAUCCAUUUUUUUUUUCUUCUACAUAUGGCUAUCCAGUUCUCUCAGCACCAUUUAUUGAAUAGAGUGUCUUCUUCCCAGUUGUUUUGUUUUGCUUUGUCGAAGAUCACUUGGUUGUAAGUACUUGGCUUUAUUUCUGGUUCUGUAUUCUGUUCUAUUAGUCUAUAUAUCCACUUUUAUACCAGUACCAUGCUCUUUUGGUUACUAUAGCCUUAUAGUAUAAUUUACAGUUGGGUAAUGUGAUGCCUCCAAAGUUGUUCUUUUUGCUUUGGAUUGCUUUGGCUAUUUGGGCAUUUUCUUAGUUCCAUAUGAAUUUUAGCAUUGUUUUUUCUAAUUCUGUGAGGAAUGAGUGACAUUGAUAGUUUGAUAGAUAUUGCAUUGAAUCUGUAGUCUGCUUUGGGUAGCAUAGUCAUUUUUGCAAUAUUGAUUCUUCCAAUCCAUGAACAUGUGAUUUCUUUCAGCAGUGUUUUGUAGUUCUUCUUGUAGAAAUCCUUUACCUUACCAGGUGAGGUGGCUCAUGCCUGUCAAAUCCCAGUCUUUGGGAGGCUGAGGAGCUCUAGAUCAGAGCCUAGGAGUUCUAGAUCAGACUGGGAAACAUGGCAAAACCCUGUCUCUACAAAAAAUACAAAAAUUAGCCAGGUGCACACAUACAUACAUACAUUUCCCCACAUAACCAUAUCCAGUGCUAGCAUUUAGAGGAAGGCAUGUAGGCACCAAAAGUCCAUCCACCUAUGCUGCUUCCACAGGGAAAUCAUUUUCCCUUUCCUCCUCUUGAACUUACAUAAUACCCCCUCCCAUUCCAACCUGAGAAUGGAGCCUUUUGGGGGCAGCUGCAAAGCGUUCUCCCUGGGACAGAUGGAGCCGCCCUUUCCUCAUCUACUCUGUGGGUGGUUUCAGGGCCCAUGAGUCAACAUGAGGUGUUGUGCUGGGGGUAUGUGUGUUGGAGGCUGGGCUAGCUGAUUCACAGUGACAAGGAUGUCAAUAGUAACGAGAAUGAGAAUGAUGGUACCU